rnacentral:rRNA from 1 species
UUGCCCUAGUAACGGCGAGUGAAGCGGCAACAGCUCAAAUUUGAAAUCUGGCGUCUUUGGCGUCCGAGUUGUAAUUUGCAGAGGGCGCUUUGGCAUUGGCAGCGGUCCAAGUUCCUUGGAACAGGACGUCACAGAGGGUGAGAAUCCCGUACGUGGUCGCUAGCCUUUACCGUGUAAAGCCCCUUCGACGAGUCGAGUUGUUUGGGAAUGCAGCUCUAAAUGGGAGGUAAAUUUCUUCUAAAGCUAAAUACUGGCCAGAGACCGAUAGCGCACAAGUAGAGUGAUCGAAAGAUGAAAAGCACUUUGGAAAGAGAGUUAAAAAGCACGUGAAAUUGUUGAAAGGGAAGCGCUUGCAGCCAGACUUGCCUGUAGUUGCUCAUCCGGGUUUCUACCCGGUGCACUCUUCUAUAGGCAGGCCAGCAUCAGUUUGGGCGGUUGGAUAAAGGUCUCUGUCAUGUACCUCUCUUCGGGGAGAACUUAUAGGGGAGACGACAUGCAACCAGCCUGGACUGAGGUCCGCGCAUCUGCUAGGAUGCUGGCGUAAUGGCUGUAAGCGGCCCGUCUUGAAACACGGACCAAGGAGUCUAACAUCUAUGCGAGUGUUUGGGUGUCAAGCCCGAACGCGUAAUGAAAGUGAACGGAGGUGGGAACCUUUCGGGGUGCACCAUCGACCGAUCCUGAUGUCUUCGGAUGGAUUUGAGUAAGAGCAUAGCUGUUGGGACCCGAAAGAUGGUGAACUAUGCUUGAAUAGGGUGAAGCCAGAGGAAACUCUGGUGGAGGCUCGCAGCGGUUCUGACGUGCAAAUCGAUCGUCAAAUUUGGGCAUAGGGGCGAAAGACUAAUCGAACUAUCUAGUAGCUGGUUCCUGCCGAAGUUUCCCUCAGGAUAGCAGUAACGUUUUCAGUUUUAUGAGGUAAAGCGAAUGAUUAGAGGCCUGGGGGUUGAAACAACCUUCACCUAUUCUCAAACUUUAAAUAUGUAAGAAGUCCUUGUUACUUGAUUGAAC